AGCAGCCGCGGUAAUUCCAGCUCCAAUAGCGUAUAUUAAAGUUGUUGCAGUUAAAAAGCUCGUAGUUGAAUUUUAGGCCUGACCGGGCGGUCCGUCUCUGGCGAGUACUGUUCUGUUGUCGGGUCUAUCCUUCUGGUGAGCCGGUAUGUCCUUUAUUGGGUGUGUCGGGGAACCAGGACCAUUACCUUGAAAAAAUUAGAGUGUUUAAAGCGGGCUUUUGCUUGAAUAGAUUAGCAUGGAAUAAUAGAAUAGGACGUUGGUUCUAUUUUGUUGGUCUAGGACCACCGUAAUGAUUAAUAGGGAUAGUUGGGGGCAUUAGUAUUCAAUUGUCAGAGGUGAAAUUCUUGGAUUUAUUGAAGACUAACUACUGCGAAAGCAUUUGCCAAGGAUGUUUUCAUAAUUCAAGAACGAAAGUUAGGGGAUCGAAGACGAUCAGAUACCGUCGUAGUCUUAACCAUAAACUAUGCCGACUAGGAAUCGGGCGACGUUAUUUUCAUGACUCGCUCGGCGCCUUAUGGGA
rnacentral:rRNA from 1 species